GGAUAUUGCACAAUGGGGGAAACCCUGAUGCAGCGAUGCCGCGUGAGUGAAGACGGCCUUCGGGUUGUAAAGCUCUGUCGCAGAGGACGAAAAUGACGGUACUCUGUAAGAAAGCUCCGGCUAACUACGUGCCAGCAGCCGCGGUAAUACGUAGGGAGCAAGCGUUAUCCGGAUUUACUGGGUGUAAAGGGAGCGCAGGCGGCGCGGCAAGUCAGAUGUGAAAGCCCGGGGCUCAACCCCGGGACUGCAUUUGAAACUGCCGGGCUAGAGUAUCGGAGAGGCAAGUGGAAUUCCUAGUGUAGCGGUGAAAUGCGUAGAUAUUAGGAGGAACACCAGUGGCGAAGGCGGCUUGCUGGACGAUCACUGACGCUGAGGCUCGAAAGCGUGGGGAGCAAACAG
rnacentral:rRNA from 1 species